UCAGAUUGAACGCUGGCGGUAUGCUUUACACAUGCAAGUCGAACGGAUUAAGAAGCUUGCUUCUUGGUUAGUGGCGAACGGGUGAGUAAUAUAUCGGAACAUAUCCGGAAGUGGGGGAUAACGUAGCGAAAGUUACGCUAAUACCGCAUAUGCCCUGAGGGGGAAAGGGGGGGAUCGCAAGACCUCUCGCUUUCGGAGUGGCCGAUAUCGGAUUAGCUAGUAGGUGAGGUAAAGGCUCACCUAGGCGACGAUCCGUAGCUGGUCUGAGAGGACGACCAGCCACACUGGAACUGAGACACGGUCCAGACUCCUACGGGAGGCAGCAGUGGGGAAUUUUGGACAAUGGGCGAAAGCCUGAUCCAGCCAUACCGCGUGAGUGAAGAAGGCCUUCGGGUUGUAAAGCUCUUUCAGCCGGAAAGAAAUCGCAUUCCUUAAUACGGGAUGUGGAUGACGGUACCGGAAGAAGAAGCACCGGCUAACUACGUGCCAGCAGCCGCGGUAAUACGUAGGGUGCGAGCGUUAAUCGGAAUUACUGGGCGUAAAGCGUGCGCAGGCGGUUUUGUAAGCCAGAUGUGAAAUCCCCGGGCUUAACCUGGGAACUGCAUUUGGAACUGUAAGACUAGAGUAUAGCAGAGGGGGGUAGAAUUCCACGUGUAGCAGUGAAAUGCGUAGAUAUGUGGAGGAAUACCAAUGGCGAAGGCAGCCCCCUGGGUUAAUACUGACGCUCAUGCACGAAAGCGUGGGGAGCAAACAGGAUUAGAUACCCUGGUAGUCCACGCCCUAAACGAUGUCAACUAGGUGUUGGGGGAGGAGACUUCCUUAGUACCGCAGCUAACGCGUGAAGUUGACCGCCUGGGGAGUACGGUCGCAAGAUUAAAACUCAAAGGAAUUGACGGGGACCCGCACAAGCGGUGGAUUAUGUGGAUUAAUUCGAUGCAACGCGAAUAACCUUACCUACCCUUGACAUGUCAGAAAAAUCGCAGAGAUGUGAGUAGAUCCGUAAGGAUGGUAACACAGGUGCUGCAUGGCUGUCGUCAGCUCGUGUCGUGAGAUGUUGGGUUAAGUCCCGCAACGAGCGCAACCCUUGUCAUUAAUUGCCAUCAUUGAGUUGGGCACUUUAAUGAGACUGCCGGUGAUAAACCGGAGGAAGGCGGGGAUGACGUCAAGUCCUCAUGGCCCUUAUGGGUAGGGCUUCACACGUAAUACAAUGGUCGGUACAGAGGGUUGCCAACCCGCGAGGGGGAGCUAAUCUCAGAAAGCCGAUCGUAGUCCGGAUUGUAGUCUGCAACUCGACUACACGAAGUCGGAAUCGCUAGUAAUCGCGGAUCAGCAUGUCGCGGUGAAUACGUUCCCG
rnacentral:rRNA from 1 species